AUAAAAAAACAAGCGCCAGAGCCCAGCUUGUGCUGGGUUGACGAGGAGAGGGAAGAUCGAAUUUUUCGGCGGAUGCCCUCCGGCCCGGUCACGGCCGCAGCGUAGAACAAAUCCGGGAGGCAACUUCCGGGCCAAAAACUACAGGUGACCAGCAG
rnacentral:ncRNA from 2 species